AACGUCUAGAUAAAUUUUCUGCAGUCAGGUAUGCCUCUAUCAUCUACGCAUACAACCCCUAGCCUGUUCAAUGUUUUGACUGCUCAUUGAAUGCUGGAUUUAGCAAUGUAUCACUGAAAGACUUUGACACUGUGAUAUAACAUCAAUUCCUUAACAUUUAUUUAUAAUGUGAUUCCCUGAAUAAUCUAAAUCAAUUUGGUGAUCCUUUCCUUACAAUUGUUGCCCCUCUUAGCCUCACUUCUGAUUGGCCUAUGGUCCAACUAACUUAUUUUUGUCAUCCACUGAAUUGCUUCACUUAAUUCUAAGUCUUAACUGAACUUAGAGGCAUCGUGAAAAAAAAACCUUGAUUCACAUAGUUUGACUGUUGAUUUGAUUACAGAUUAUUACGGACUUUAUAUUCAGAUUAUAUUAUUGGGCUGGAGCAGCAAUGCAUAGCCUCUGCACAUAUGUAGAUGGGCUGUUUGCGUUGUUCUCUUUUUCUUAUCACACUACUAUGCGUGCCCUGCAGCAGCAAUGCAUAGUCUACAGGGGGGAUUUUUGCUUGUUCUUAUCAUGUGCAGUUUGUUUCUUCAGAGAAAAAUCAGUAGGUGUUGAAGUUCGCCCUGCUUCUUUGAUUGAAGCUCCUCAAAUCUCACUGCUUUAGGGCUCAGUACAAUAUCAAAUAUAUGGGGGAUCUCGAUGCUAGACGAAUAAAUGGCUUACUGAAUCAGACACACACAACUCUUUGCCAAAGAAUCCAUGUCUAGGCUAGGAAGCAGAUUUGAACAACAGAGAAGGUAUGUUGGGCCUGGAUGCAUUUACAUUGAUUGUGAUUACAGAUAAAUUUUUAACUCAAUACAGUUUAUUUUACUUUUUCAUGCUUUACUUGGACAAAGUGGCUGUGAUAUACAUUUGAGGCUUUUUUAUCAGUUAGGAUGCAUAAUUCUAAUUUAUCAGUUAAUGCAUAGCUUUUAUAUUACUGUAAUCACAAGAAUUAUGUUCAGUCUGUAAAAAAAAUAAGAGAAACAGUUAUGGGUCCCUAUGACUGCUCCCUUGUUGUGGAGCAGUUAAUUGUACUGUAAAAUCUAAUCUGCAUGUUCUAACAUACAAUUCUAACAUUUAGAUGUUCUUGUUCUUUGAGAUCCACUACUAUAGAACAGGCCUUUGAUCCAGGUCAUUUGUCCCGGCUGCCUUUGGGCCCGGAACUAAAGAGUGCUUUAGUUCUGGGUCCAACGGCUAGCCGGGCAGGCGGGGAGCAUAGGGGCCUUUGGUCCCGGUUGGAGCCACCAACCGGGACCGAAGGGCUAGUGCACCGGGGCCUUUGGUCCCGGGUGGUGGCUCCAACCAGGACCAAUGGUCCGGCCGCCAUUUGGUUCCGGUUGGAGCCACCAGCCAGGACCAAAGGUUCGUUAUUUGGUCCCGGGUCGUGGCUCCACCCGGGACCAAGUGGCGGCCAGACCAUUGGUCCCGGUUGGAGCCACCAACCGGGACCAAAGGCCCAGGGAAUCUAGGCCUUUGGUCCCGGUUGGUGGGUCCAACCGGGACAAAACACCCACGGUCAAUUAUUACCCCUUCUUCCUCCCCUCCCCGAGCCAUUCAGCUAAGUUCUUGCGGCUGUUCUUGGCUCGGGUGGGGGGAGAGUUUGCCCAUUUGCUCUAUGAUUUGUGAAGACUCUUUGAUUCUCCAUCCAUUCAACAACUUCAAAGGUUAGGAGCUUGUUCCUCUCAUCUUGCAUUUUUGUGUAGCUCGUUUUAUGGUUUAGAAAUUGAUAAAUGGAGGAGAUAUUUAGAUUGUGAAAGUUUUCUUGAUUUUUACACCAUUUGAGCUCAAAUGUGGUGUGGUACUUUUAGCUGUGCAUAUGUAGAAGCUUUUGGCUUGUAGUAGUUCAUCUACAAGAGAAUAGAGAGUUGAUGUUAUUUUUUCUUGUAUAUAUAGAGUUGAUUUUCUUGUAUAACUCAAAUGAGGAUAAUAGAAAGUUUUAAUUUUUACCAUGAGAGUAUGUGUAAAUGGAUUUGAUAUGAAUUUAUAAAAGUAAUAGUUAUUGUAAGUGCAACAAUAUAUUAUUAGAAAUGAUUAAUUUUUAUGCUCUAUUGAUGUAUUUAUUUUGGCACUCUAGUUUGUAAGAAUUCAUUUAAUUUUUUGUUGUUGUAAAAGACAAGUGUAGCGAGUAUGAGUAUGCAACAUGAUACAUUGGAGCGUCGGGCGGCCGCCCAAGCGUCGGUAUGCAAUCAACUGGAGCACAGCGGACAUUCUCUUGAGUUCCGCCCAGAGGAGCAUGUUGGACUUAUUAGAAGCCGUAUUCGUCGUUUGAUUAAGAAAGCAUUUCAAUGCUUUGAAUUUUAAAAAUAAAAUCGCAGAUUUGAGCAUGAAAAUCCUAUUGAAUUGUAUGGUACUGAAGAUGAUCACGAGUUGAUGGCUCGAUAUUAUGCAAGGCGUGAAGCGGCUGGACUAGCAGAAUUUGAUCGUAAUGUAGAGAGACUUCGCGAGGCGGUUCACGAGUCCUUGGUCCGUAGGUCUAAUGAGUAGUUUGUAUUAGCAUGUAUCUUUUUUGUUUUUUAUUAUGGUCUUUUAUGUAAACCUUAGGGUGUACGAUGUGUUUAUUAUUCAAAUUGCAUGUAUCUUUUUCGUUUUUGUAUUAGCAUGUAUCUCUUUCCCUUUUUUA